AUGGCUCAGAACGAACGCUGGCGGCAGGUCUUAGGCAUGCAAGUCGAACGGAUGACAGAGAGCUUGCUCUCUGAAGUCAGUGGCGCACGAGUGAGUAACGCGUGGGAAACUGCCCUUCACUGGGGAAUAACGUUUGGAAACGAACGCUAAUACCGCAUACGCCCGCAAGGGGAAAGAUUUAUCGGUGAUGGAUGUGCCCGCGUUGGAUUAGCUAGUUGGUGGGGUAAUGGCCUACCAAGGCGAUGAUCCAUAGCUGGUCUGAGAGGACGAUCAGCCACGCUGGAACUGAGACACGGUCCAGACUCCUACGGGAGGCAGCAGCUAAGAAUAUUGGGCAAUGGAGGAAACUCUGACCCAGCCCAUGCCGCGUGAAUGAAGAAGGCCUUCGGGUUGUAAAGUUCUUUUAGUCAUGAAGAUGAUGACAGUAGUGACAGAAAAAGCACCGGCUAACUUCGUGCCAGCAGCGGC
rnacentral:rRNA from 1 species